rnacentral:rRNA from 1 species
UACGGGGGGGGCAAGCGUUGUUCGGAAUUACUGGGCGUAAAGGGCGCGUAGGCGGCCAUCUAAGUCAGACGUGAAAUCCCUCGGCUCAACCGAGGAACUGCGUCUGAUACUGGAAGGCUUGAAUCCGGGAGAGGGAUAUGGAAUUCCAGGUGUAGCGGUGAAAUGCGUAGAUAUCUGGAGGAACACCGGUGGCGAAGGCGGCAUCCUGGACCGGUAUUGACGCUGAGGCGCGAAAGCUAGGGGAGCAAACGGG